GCCUAUGACCAAAUCACCCAAAAUGCACCCAAUCUCCAUCGGAUCUCUAAAGCUAAGCAGGAUGAGCCUAGGUAGUGCUUGGAUGGGUGACCACCAACAGGUGCUUUAAGCUGCUGCAGAGC
rnacentral:rRNA from 1 species